GAUUAACGCUAGCGGCAGGCCUAAUACAUGCAAGUCGAGGGGUAGCAGGGUAGCAAUACCGCUGACGACCGGCGCACGGGUGAGUAACACGUAUGCAACCUACCUAUAACUGGGGAAUAGCCUUCCGAAAGGAAGAUUAACACCGCAUAACAUCACGAGAUGGCAUCAUUUUGUGAUCAAACCUCCGGGGGUUAUAGAUGGGCAUGCGCAGCAUUAGCUAGUUGGUGAGGUAACGGCUCACCAAGGCGACGAUGUUUAGGGGGUCUGAGAGGAUGAUCCCCCACACUGGUACUGAGACACGGACCAGACUCCUACGGGAGGCUG
rnacentral:rRNA from 1 species